AGACCCAUUUGACCUAUCCUGGGCCUGUGGCACAGAAUAUAAAGCAUAUUCAACACAGCCAAUAAGCUCGCAAGGUAAUGAACCAACACCACCCAGACACAAUGUUAUAUAACAGCUUGAUAACAUAGGCAAGUUGUCGAUGAAUAUAAAGAUGCAGAGCAGAAUGAAGAAGCUACAUGAAAUUUUGAAAAGUACAUAUAAAUGAAAAUAAUGAUAAUAAAGUCACAAAAGGCAAAUGAACAAAAGCUCAAAGUUAGAAUAGAAAUCCUGUAUUACAACCAUAAAACAGUUAUUUCAAAUCAAUGUCAAAUGUUCUAAAUCCUACAUACAAAUGCAUAAAAAUGUAUAGACCAUAAGCAUAGCAUCAAACAAAGGUUUCUAUUGACUUUAAGUUGUAGGACUAACAGGAAGGACAAUAGUUUAGUAAAUGUUAACUAUUUACCAAAUGAUGAGAAGAGGCGGAAAAAACAAACAGUUAUAAGAACAAAAAGCUGCCGCUUAUCACCCCUCCCAAAAAAAAUAAAGCCACAUACAGAGGCAAACUGGAAGAAGAAGACAGAAAUCAGUAAAGGGUGAACAGAAAAUGGCGUGUAUCACAAAGAAAGUUAACAACAAAAGGCAAAGGGUGAUACAGCUAAAACACAAGCCUGGAUUCACUCAGUAGCAUGAACAAUUCACUUACUGUAGAGGAUGACUUCCCAGAAG
rnacentral:misc_RNA from 1 species